CGUCCUUCCCCUCGGGCCUGGCAUCCUCCGCCCGAGGGCAGGACCACCCCAUCCCGUGUGUCCCCGGGCCGUCCACAGCCUCUCUCCCCAGAGCCUAGACCACCUGGACACCCCGCCCCGGGCAUCGGGCGCGGGCCCACCUGUGCGAGGUGAGCACCACGGAGCGGCCCUCCCGCACCACGGCCAGGAGGCUGUUCCAGAGGAAGCGCCGCGUGCCGGGGUCCAUGCCGGUGGUCGGCUCAUCCUGGGGUGCGGGAGACGCUUAAGCCAGGCCCCGCCCCAGCCCGGCCCGGCCCGGCCCUCGUCCCAGCCCCGCCCCACGCACCAGAAAGACCACGGCCGGGUCCCCCACCAGCGCCACGGCCGUCGCCAGCUUCCGCUUGUUGCCGCCGCUGUAGGUGCCCGCGGGCCGGUCCGCGUACUGCGGGAGCCCCAGGCGCGCCAGGCCCAAGCUCGCCGUCUGCGGGGCGGGCCGGAGUCGGGGGGACACCGGAGUGAAUAGGAGCAUGGGGGGGCGGAGUGAGCCCGGCGGGGGCCCGAAUGAGAGUGGGGGGACCGAAUGAGGGGGGAGGUGGGCCAGGGGGAGCAUGGCGGGGCACAGUGUGGGGUGGGGGCCGGACUGACUAAAGGGUGCACUGGGGGCCAGAGCGAGCAUGGGGCGGGGCCCGGUGAGUGGGAGGGGCCGGGGCGAGGAUGCAGGUGGGGAAAGGGGCGGGGCUCAGGGAGGGGAGCCGCACCUGGCGCAGGCGCAGGAAGGCGCGAAGCGGGAGGUGGAGUCACGGUGAGCGGGCGGGGCCACGGCCGGGAGGAGAGGAGGGGAGGGGUGGCCCCCGAAGCAGGGCGGGGGUCAGGGUGCGGCCAGGAGGACGGCGGGGAGCUGGGGACCCCCGCGAGGGUGGGAGCCGGGGAGGGCGGGGGCGUGGCCCAGCAGAGCCCAAGUGGGUGGCGGGUCACCUGGGCGACCUGCGCCUCGGGGACGCCGCGCAGGCGCGCGAACAGCUCCAGGUGCUCCCGGCCGGUCAGCAGCUCGAAGACGGCGUCCGACUGCGGGCAGUAGCCCAUGCGGCGGUGCGCGGCGGCCGGCUCCUGGGCCACGCUGGGGUCGGGGCGCAGGCGGCUCAGGGCACGGGCCAGGCCCCGGCCAGGCUGGAGGCCCCCCACCCUGGAGCCCCUGGUAAGGGACAGGGGGUGUGUACCAGGCCCCAUCCACCUGCAGGGGCUGGGCCCGCGCGCGCUCGCAGAGCCCCCUCACCUGUGGCCGGCCAGCACGGCCUCGCCCCCGCUGGGCAGCAUGUCCCCGGUCACCAUGCGAAACGUGGAGGUUUUCCCGGCUCCGUUCACGCCCAGCAGCCCGAAACACUGCGGGUUCACCGCGCACGGCGCUCAGCAAGGCCCCGCGCCAGCCCGGGGCCUCGGGUUCCCAGGGUGGGUCCUCAGUUUCCCCGUGAAGGGCUGUGGACAAGGGGGCCCCGAGGGGCAGAUACCGGGAGCGUGUGGGGAGGCAUAAAGCUGUCCCUUAGCAGGAACGGCCCCUGCCACUCGGUGGGCACUCGGGCAGGGUGCACAGUCAGCCUGAGUUGGAGUGCUGGCUGGCACAUAGUAGGCACCUGAUAAAGAGUGACUGCCACUUACGCCGACACGCCACGUGUUUGCAGGUGUCACAGGUACCGGCCCCAAGAGGCUGCCACUAACUGGCACACAGAAAUUAAGUCUGCACAUAGUAGGCGCUUGAGUGUGAACUGGGACAAAGCGGGUGCGUGAUAGAUACUGGCUGUGAGCAAGUGCUUGAAACGGAUGUGUAUACAAUAGGGGCUCCAUAAAUGCUGUUGGCGCGUGAUAAAAGUUGAUCAUCACAGAUGUGGCAUUUGAUACGCCUUUGGUGCGCACAGUGGGUGCUCAGUAAAAGGUCGCAGGCGCACAGCAGUUGCUCAAUAAAGGGCAGGAGACUCAUAGUAAAUGUCCAAGAAAGGGUGGUAGGCACACAGAGGUGCUGAAUAAAGGCAGUGGGUGCGCAGUAGGGCAGCCUCUCGCUGCCCCUGCACCGGGACCUCCUCUCUGACUUACCUCACCGGGGGGGAUCCCCAGGCACAGGCGGUCAACAGCGGGUGUCCUCUGCCUGGGGUACACCUGAGGGGGAGCAGGUCCCUGAGAAAAGUGGCUGGGCUGGCGGGAGCCCCCCACCCACGCGCCCCUUGGCGGCACCCACCUUGGUCAGGUCCCGCAGCACCAAUAUGUCCCCCUCGGUGGCCCCUCGGACCACCCGCUCCCGCUCGCGGGCCACGUCCUCGUCCUCCUCCCCCAGGGGCGGCAGUGGCUUCAGCUUGGGUCUGAGGACAGAGACACAAGUGGGCCCCAAGCCGGCCCGCGGCCCCUGCCACCCUAUCCCGGGCCCCACUGACCUUGACAGGAGGCGGUUCCGGUGCUGGAGCAGGAGUGUGAAGAGGAGGAAGAGGGGCCCCUGCACCACCAUGGCCAAGAGGUUCUUGCCGACCACCUCCCAGCGCAGGGGCGACUGGAAAUCCCCAUUUCCUGUGGGGACAGGAAGGAGGGGCUGGCUCCUUGGAGGAUCUUGGUUACUGGACCCUUCCCCAUCCUAGAAACCUUGAGUUCUUACAGGAAAGGACCAAGAACUGGAUAGGCCACUCAACUGAGGUCUAAUUGGUAUAGAAAAACAGUGAUAUCACCACCUCCCUUAUUUAGGGCCUUAGACCCCUUGUGAUGUGACCCAAGAUAGAAUUAGCUUUUAUGGCUGCUUUGCUGCACCUCGAACGUGGCCCGACUCUGGGGCCAGCCGAGACCUUCAGUUUUAUUCCCGGGGGGCUGCUGCUUGUCCCCACCCUGUAUCAUCCCCUCUUGGCCGGCCCUUCUCCACCUGGAAGGAAGUUCUCACCAAAGCGCUCGAAGGCGUCGGCCAUGGCCUGGUUCCGCACCAUGUCGAUGAGCCCCCGGCCCAGGCAGAAGUGGGGGAAGAUGAGGAAGACUCGUUUCAGGAUCCGGCUCACGUCCUGCAGCUUCUGCUCCGGGAACAGGAGGCGGGAGGUGGGUCCGGGGCGAGGCCAACACCCCAGCCGCAGCCCCCGCCCCCCCGCGCCGCACCGGGCCUCCCCCCACGCCCCCCAGCCCGGCCCACCUCAUCGGAGAAGAGCUCGAGCACGAAGGUGGCCAUGCUGCCGUUGAUGCCGAUGAAGAGGUUGACGCAGGUGAGCAGCACGUACGCCGUGCUGGGCACGGAGAAGCAGAAGGAAGCCGGGUACAUGAGCGGCGUGAUCGACCAGCUGGGGGCAAUGGGAGUCGCCAGGUGACCAGCCGGACGGGGGGCUCAGUGGCCCCGAGGGGACGAGUGCGGGUCCCUCCCGUCCUCGCUGCUCGGGCUCUGGAGACGGGAGUCCGCACGAGCUGAGCUCGAAGGCCAUUUGGGCAUCCCGUGGAGUGAGGUCACAGCUGCGGUCACCUCCGGCCUUGGGACCUGCUCUGGCGUCCCAGCUCCCCACUGGGGAUCGGGCAGGGCACGGGGCCUGGGGGGCCCUGGGGGGCUCUGGGGGGCCGGGGGUCUCACCCGUACAGUAAGAGCAGCAGCAGGAGGGCGGGCAGGUUGGCGGGUGCCACGUAUGCCUUCUGCUGGAAGGCCAGGAAGAUGAGCACCACGAUGCACGCCGGCACCAAGUAGUUACACUGCGGUGGAGACGGCAGGGACCCCCCGUCAGCGUGCACGGGGCGGGAUGCCCCAUCUCCCGCCAUUCCCGAGACGUCCCCGCCCCCCAGGGCCAGUCCCUGCCCGGAAGGGGCCAGAAGGGGCAGUGGCGAGCGGUGGCCGGGCCCCCACCCCUCCGGGCCGUCCGCGCACCAUGUCCCAGAGGAAGUUGCUGAGCCAGUAGAGAGUGGGGGGCAGGCCCCCCAUGAACUGCAGGUGUUUGGCUCCCGUGACGCGCUCCUCGAUGAGGACGAGAGUGAAGCUGGCCGGGAUGAAAGACAUGGCGAAGACCACACAGAUGGACACGAGCACGUCCACUGAGGAGGCCAUCCUGGGGGGGAGGGCGCGUGCCACUGACCGGUCUACAGGGCGGCCCACGGGGGUGGGGACAUGGCCCGGGACGUUCGGGGGGACGCGGGCGGCGGCUGGCAAGGAGAGGUCGCAUGGGUCUCUGACGAGGACAUGCGGGCCGUCGGGGGAGAGCGGAGCCCCGCUGGGCCCGGUGACGUCCCGUGACCCCGGCUUAGUGGACAGAGACGGGUUCUUGUUCCCCCAUUCACACAGUGGAGCGUGACGGAGGGCAAAUCCAGCCCGCAUCCCCCGAGACGACGGAGAAACUGAGGCAGCGGAGCCCACACAGGGCUGAGGGACUCACAUCGUGGCCUCGGACAGCUGCUCCUUGGUGAGGUUCAGAGGGUGAUUCAGCGUGGUGAUGCUGUGGGCGCGGCGGGCGGGGCCCCGGGGCAGGCGGGCGCGUAGAAGUGCGUUGUUGGCCCGGUUGACGAAGGCCACCAUGGCAUGCCAGCCCUUGUUGUUGAACCAGAUCUGGGGUGGGGUCAGGGCCCAGGGGUCAGGGUGACGGGGUCCGACCUGCCCCCACCACCCGCCCGCCCGCCACCCCCCGGCUCCCACCUUGAGGCUGUCCUGCGCAUCCAGGCCGCGAGCCCACACCGUGAGGUUGUUCAGGAGGCGGUCAAGGGCCCCGCCGGGCUGGGGACUCAACAGCGCCCGCAGCUCCUCCACCGAGCGGCCCACCUCGUGCCCCGAGGGCAGGCUGGGGUCUCGGCCCCCGAGGGAGAAGCCCCCGUACCUGUGGGUCAGUGGGGGCAUGGCGGGCGGCUGACGGCCGUGGUCAUGGGGCGAGCCCCCCGGCGGGCGGGCAGGGGCUGCAGCCAGGGGCCUGGGGUCGGGGGGCCCCCUCCUCACCUGAUCUCGUUCACCCACUUCUUGGUCUUCAAGCUACAGGGAAGAUGGACGGACAAACAGACACAUAGGGAGGACAGGGACGUGAGGGGGACGGACAGAGAUGACAGGGGGGCAGUAGGAUUGUAAAGACGGGAGGCGCAGGGGGCACUCAGGGACCCUCCGGCCCGCCCGCUGAGACCCCCGACCCGCACGGCUCACCCCUGGUGCACCAGGCGCGGGUAGGUCUUGACCAGGAAGUCGGACAGGUUGCGGCCGGUGAGGUUCUGCACCAGCUCCCCGGAGCUGCCAGGGGCCUGGGGCGGCGGGGGGCCGCCAGCCGCGGCGGGGCAGGCGGGCAGCAGGCGCCGGGCGCCGGGCCGGCUGCACUGGCAGGCCGGGGAGGGGGACCCCGGGGUCCAGUUGCCGCUGGCCAAGACCGCGGCCACGUCCGGGGGGACCUCGGGCACCGAGAACCUGUGGGGGGUGGGGGGCGGGGCUGUGGGCUGCAGGCCGGGGAGGCUCCGGGGACCCCCCCGAGGCCCACAGGCAGGGCGCUGAGGGGGAAACCGAGGCCGGCCCUCACCCAUGGGAGCCGUUCUUCUGGGCCGGCUCCUGCACUCCUGCCUCCUCCAGCAGCGCCUCCAGCAGGCGGGUGCGCUCGGGGUCCCCAGGGGCGUCCUCGCUGUGGGUGGGGGGCGGGGUCAGCGCUGCGUCCCCAGCCCCUGGCCCUCCCGCCACCCCCACCACCCGCACCCACCUGAAGAAGGAAACCUGGGCCCCGUACAUGGUGGGGCUGAGCCGCAGGGCCGGGUAGUGUCCGAACGGCGGCACGAUGAGGCUGAACGCCAGCGCCAGCCCCACAAACAGGGCCGGCAACACCAUCUGGAGGACCGGCCGUCAGCUGCCCUCCCGCCCCUGCUCUACAAUCAUCCCUGGCUCCCCAGUGCUCCCACUGCAGAUGUUCAGAGUAGGGACUUGCCCGGGGUCAGGUGGCUGAGUUAGGCCACCUGAGUGGAGGCAGGCACCCAUGUCCCCCCGCAUCCCCCGGGGCCCCCGCACCUGGGCGAACAGGCCACAGUGGCUGCGGCUGGCCAGCAGCAAGCGCUUCAGGAGCAGGGCCCGGAGCUGUUGGCGGGCCAGCGUCCAGCCCUCCACACGGCCUGCGGCGGCCGGCCCGGAGCCCCGCAGGGCCUGUGUCUCUGGGGCCAAGCCAGCUGCAGGGGGCUGACCCCUCCGGCAGGAUCUUGAGCUGAGUGUCUGCGUCCAGGGGAGCAAUGUCCGUGCCCAGGGGCUGCCUGCGGCCACCAUCUGUGGAGCCACCGGGGGGCCAGGGUCAGGGGCCACCGUUCAGCCUGGGGUCUGGGUCAAGGCCAAAGGUCACAGAUGCAGGGCUCAGGGGUCAGGGAUGGAGGUCAGGGCUGCGCAUUGGGCCAGACUCAGCGAGGGAUGAGCACUUGGUCUGAAGCCAGGGCCAACUCUGGACCAGGGUUAGGGGUCGAGGACAGGGGCCUGCGGCCACACCUUUUGGGUCCGAGUCCCCAGCACAGUCCUCCAUCACCUUCAGGAAGAUCUGGAGAGACCAAAUGGGGGCUCAGACGCUGUGUGUCCCCCAGGCCUCCCCAAGGGACUCAGAGCCGCCCCUCCCUGGGCUGCCCUGCUGUCAGGAAGCAGAGCCCUCCUCCACCUCCAGGCAGGCCUCCCCCCUCCGGCAGCCGCACCUCCUCCAGGCCGGUGUCAGAGAUCCCGUAGCCGGUCAGCCCCAGCUCCCCCAGCCGCAGGUCCAGGUCGCGGAAGAGCCCGGCGAAGCUGCCGUCCAGGGCGCCCUCGUAGGGCAGCGCCAGCACCAGCUCGUGCGGCAGCUCCUCCACCAGCCGCGCCCCGGGCACGUGGCUCUGCACCAGGGCCAGCAGCCGGGGCGCAGCCGGGGGUGCAGCGGGGGGCGGUGGGGCCCAGCCUCCCUGGAGUAGGGGCUUGGUCACCCAGGAGGUGCCCAUCCCUGUGGGCAGAGGGGGUCAGGGUUAAGCACCCGACAGCAGGACUUGGCCGGGGGUCAGCAUGGAGUCCACCUAAGGUCAGAGGUCACAGGGAGGUUUGUGUGCGGGCUCAGCCCAGGUGAGGUUAAAGGCAGGGGCUGGAGUCAGGCUCACCCGGGGUCAGGGGUCAGUCUGGGGUCGUGAGGCCCUGUUGCCACUGCCCCCACCAGCCCUCCCUUUGGCUCUCCCUCCCCAGCCCUCACCGGCCGUGCCACCCGGCUCCUCCUGCCUCCUGUCUUCCAAGUCGGCAUCACCCUGCGGGCCGAGGGACACCGACUGCCAUGGCCAUCGGGGCUGGACAUAGCCUUGGGGGGUCAGGGGUCAGUCCGGCCCUCACCUUCUUGCUGGUGGCCAGGGGCGGGGGACCUUUGACCAGUGUCAGGUAGUAGCCAGAGCCGAAGUGACGCCGUAGGAAGAGCAGGGAGCCACAGCAGCACAAGCGGCCGGCCGCCACCACCGCCACGCGGUCUCCCAGGAGCUCCGCCUCAUCCAGGUGAUGUGUGGAGAGGAUCAGUGUGCGCCCUGGUCACGGGGACCCAACCCACGUGGACCAUCAGGCCACCAGCUGUCUGCCUGAACUGUGCCCUCCACCGAGAAUUGCCUGCCUGUGCGGCAAACUCCUGCUCACCCCUCAAAACCCCACCUCCAGCACCUCCUCCUCAGGAACCUUGUCUCCUCCUUAGAAACCUUUUCUGGCCCCUCAAAUGGAACCCAGGGGAACCCUAGGCCACCCACAACUCUUACCUUCGCGGUAUUUGAGCAGCAGCUCCCAAAUACCGCGGCGAGAAGCAGGGUCCACGCCAGCGGUGGGCUCGUCCAGGAUAACGACCUGGGAGCCACCCACAAAGGCGAUGGCCACCGAAAGCUUCCGCUGCAUCCCACCUGGGAAGGGACGGGGGGGUCAGGAUGUCAGCAUGACCCCCAGCCCUGGUCAAGGCUGCGCGCCACUCCCCCCUCCCCGCCACUGCCCGUUGCUCACCCACCUUGACCUCAGCCCCCACGGGAUAAGGUCCCCGCCCCUCCCCAGGCCGGGCUCACCGGACAGGUGGCGCGUCUCCACACGCCGCUUGGGGACGAGCCCCGUGUCCUGCAGCAGCCGGUCCUGCUCGGGGCCCACGGCAGCCGCACUCAGACCCUUCAACCGCCCGUAGAACCAGAUGUGCUCGUCCACGGUCAUCCUGCGGCCACGGGCAAGGAACAGAGCGGCCAGCGUGGCAGGCAGGGUCCCCCAAGAACAGCCGGGCCUCCCACCGCCGCACCCCAGGGUCCCCCCAGGAC
rnacentral:lncRNA from 1 species